GAUUUGAAAGGCGCUUUCGGGUGUCGCUGAUGGAUGGACCCGCGGUGCAUUAGCUAGUUGGUGAGGUAACGGCUCACCAAGGCCACGAUGCAUAGCCGACCUGAGAGGGUGAUCGGCCACAUUGGGACUGAGACACGGCCCAAACUCCUACGGGAGGCAGCAGUAGGGAAUCUUCGGCAAUGGACGAAAGUCUGACCGAGCAACGCCGCGUGAGUGAAGAAGGUUUUCGGAUCGUAAAACUCUGUUGUUAGAGAAGAACAAGGAUGAGAGUAACUGUUCAUCCCUUGACGGUAUCUAACCAGAAAGCCACGGCUAACUACGUGCCAGCAGCCGCGGUAAUACGUAGGUGGCAAGCGUUGUCCGGAUUUAUUGGGCGUAAAGCGAGCGCAGGCGGUUUCUUAAGUCUGAUGUGAAAGCCCCCGGCUCAACCGGGGAGGGUCAUUGGAAACUGGGAGACUUGAGUGCAGAAGAGGAGAGUGGAAUUCCAUGUGUAGCGGUGAAAUGCGUAGAUAUAUGGAGGAACACCAGUGGCGAAUGCGGCUCUCUGGUCUGUAACUGACGCUGAGGCUCGAAAGCGUGGGGAGCAAACAGGAUUAGAUACCCUGGUAGUCCACGCCGUAGACGAUGAGUGCUAAGUGUUGGAGGGUUUCCGCCU
rnacentral:rRNA from 1 species